UUUAAAGUUAGUUUUGGUGUUUUGAUUCAUUUGAUUGUUCGUCAACGGGUGCAGCUAGGAACAGUGUGAAGUCCAAAUAAAUAAGGUUCUAGAAUGGAUGGUUAUCUUCUUCUUCUUUUUGGGUUUUUGUAUAGUCAAGUGCAACACCUUUGAGGACCUGCAUCAUAUUUGCAUAAUUAGCAGCGGUAUCCCGAUACAUUGAGUCAAUAACCGAGUUCUUCGUCAUGCCACCCAAAACAAUGAGGGAUGGAUCCUCUUAGGUUGUUGUGUGCCAGAUCCAAAAUUUGAAGUCUGAAAGAUUUGCACAAAGAGUGAGGAAUUCUUCCGGUGAAAUUAUUCUUAUGCAACCUAAGAGCAAUUAAUUUAAUUUCUCCGAUCCAUUCAGGCUUAACAGCGCGUAAAUGCAGCACAAUGACCAUUCAAGCUGGAAAACGGGUAUUACAAGGCAAUACGGAGUGAGGAAGCGGAAAUGCUGGAAAAUAUACUCCCUCGCGCCACGCGAGGGAGUCUAUGUAAGGUGUCGCGUGGCGCGACAGGUGAAAGUCAACGAGCAGUCAAACCAUACUCCCUCGCGCCACGCGAGGGAGUCCAUGUGAGCUGUAACGUGGCGCGGCAGUGGUACAGCGCGGAAAAGUGUGAUUUUAACCUAGUUCGAGAGAAAACGUGGAUUAUUGAAUACACAGCCGCCAGAGGACGUUUUGGAGGACUUUUGGGCGAUUUCUUUUCAUCAUCUUCAAUCUUCCAAGCAACCUGCUCAUGUUUAAUCAAUUUCUGGCAGAUUCUGAAGCAACAAUGACCAUGAUGCGCGGCUAAUUCGCUUGUAACUUCUACUCGGAUGAACUUUUGCUUAGUUUUGCAUUGAAUUUUGUUUACGGAUUCUUGUAACUGGUACAGCUUGACCACUCGUGUUGGAUUCUUGGUAAACGUUCAUUGUGUUUGAAUUAUUUGUCGUUUA
rnacentral:lncRNA from 1 species